rnacentral:lncRNA from 1 species
CGGAGUUGAAGAAGCAAGUCGCUCAGAACCAACAUGAUAAUUCUGAUCUGAAGAGCGAACUUGCGAGUGCCGAAGAAGAAGUGCUGGCCUUGAAGGACAACAACACCGCACUUGCUGAUAGAGCUGCUGGGUUGGAUAUGGAUGUACGCUACCAAUCCGACCAGCUUCAAGAGCUCAUCUUCUUCGGACCAACAGUAUUCCCUGCUCUACCUCCGAACUACAUCACGG